rfam:Solanum tuberosum cultivar DM 1-3 516 R44 scf00159_26, whole genome shotgun sequence.
AUGUGGUACUUUUCGGAUUUUGAGAUUCAAACAAGUCUAUCUUUGACUGUAAAUUUUUCAUAAAUCUUUUAAACAUUUUGAAUUAUCAAUUAUUGUGACUUAUAAUUCUUUUUACGUAGUUUACAAAUAUAUAAAUUUUAUUUCAAAAAAAUUGAAGAUUCCAUGCGCAAAUUUUCGGUCAAAUUUAAACUGUUUGACUCUCGAAAAACGAAAAGUGCCAUAUAA